UACGAAGGGGGCGAGCGUUGUUCGGAAUUACUGGGCGUAAAGGGCGCGUAGGCGGCGAACCAAGUCAGAUGUGAAAGUCCUGGGCUUAACCUGGGGACUGCAUUUGAUACUGGUUUGCUUGAAUUCGGGAGAGGAUAGCGGAAUUCCCAGUGUAGAGGUGAAAUUCGUAGAUAUUGGGAAGAACACCGGUGGCGAAGGCGGCUAUCUGGACCGACAUUGACGCUGAGGCGCGAAAGCGUGGGGAGCAAACAGGG
rnacentral:rRNA from 1 species